rnacentral:rRNA from 1 species
GACGAACGCUGGCGGCGUGCUUAACACAUGCAAGUCGAACGGAAAGGCCCUGCUUUUGUGGGGUGCUCGAGUGGCGAACGGGUGAGUAACACGUGAGUAACCUGCCCUUGACUUUGGGAUAACUUCAGGAAACUGGGGCUAAUACCGGAUAGGAGCUCCUGCUGCACGGUGGGGGUUGGAAAGUUUCGGCGGUUGUGGAUGGUCUCGCGGCUUAUCAGCUUGUUGGUGGGGUAGUGGCUUACCAAGGCUUUGACGGGUAGCCGGCCUGGGAGGGUUACCGGCCACAUUGGGACUGAGAGACGGCCCAGACUCCUACGGGAGGCAGCAGUGGGGAAUAUUGCACAAUGGGCGGAAGCCUGAUGCAGCAACGCCGCGUGCGGGAUGACGGCCUUCGGGUUGUAAACCGCUUUCGCCUGUGACGAAGCGUGAGUGACGGUAAUGGGUAAAGAAGCACCGGCUAACUACGUG